rnacentral:rRNA from 1 species
GACGAACGCUGGCGGCGUGCUUAACACAUGCAAGUCGAACGGGCCUGUCUUCUUUUUUGGGGGUGGGUUGAGUGGCGAACGGGUGAGUAUCACGUGAGUAACCUGCCCUUCGGUCCUGGAUAACCGCUUGAAAGGGCGGCUAAUACGGGGUGGUCCGGUUGGUCCGCAUGGGCUGGUCGGGAUAGAUUCACUGUUUUUGGUGUUUCGGCGGGGGAUGGGCUCGCGGCCUAUCAGCUUGUUGGUGGGGUGAUGGCCUACCAAGGCGGUGACGGGUAGCCGGCCUGGGAGGGUGGGCGGCCACACUGGGACUGAGAUACGGCCCAGACUCCUGCGGGAGGCAGCAGUGGGGGGGAUUGCACAAGGGGCGGAAGCCGGAUGCAGCGACGUCGGGUGAGGGAUGGAGGCCUUCGGGUUGUGAACCUCUGGUUCCGGUGGUGAAGGCCCUGUCCGUGUGGUGGGGUUGACGGUAGCCGGGGAUGAAGCGCCGGCUAACUACGUG